rnacentral:rRNA from 1 species
AGAAUGAACGCUGGCGGCAUGCCUAACACAUGCAAGUCGAACGAAGGCUUCGGCCUUAGUGGCGCACGGGUGCGUAACGCGUGGGAAUCUACCCUUAGGUUCGGAAUAACAGUUGGAAACGACUGCUAAUACCGGAUGAUGACGUAAGUCCAAAGAUUUAUCGCCUAGGGAUGAGCCCGCGUAGGAUUAGCUAGUUGGUGUGGUAAAGGCGCACCAAGGCGACGAUCCUUAGCUGGUCUGAGAGGAUGAUCAGCCACACUGGGACUGAGACACGGCCCAGACUCCUACGGGAGGCAGCAGUGGGGAAUAUUGGACAAUGGGCGAAAGCCUGAUCCAGCAAUGCCGCGUGAGUGAUGAAGGCCUUAGGGUUGUAAAGCUCUUUUACCCGGGAUGAUAAUGACAGUACCGGAGAAUAAGCUCCGGCUAACUCCGCGCCAGCAGCCGC